UCAGUUGUUUCUGUCUGAGGACUCACUUUCAUUUCUGGAUAAGAAAAGCUUAGAUUUUCUCACGGGAAUCUGUUUCGAGUGCAUGGGAAAAGAAACUGGAUGACCUGGAGACUCAUUUCAUCUCAGCUUGCAUCACUUCAAAAUUUCAACAGAAGUUUUUUUUUUUUGCCUGGGUCCACUUCAAGCCUGAACCUUUGUAGCACUUUGUGCAACGUCACUUAUACUGAUAGUAGACUAACAUACACUACCUUAAGCAACAUGGCUAGCGUCCCAUCUGAGUCACACAUACUCUUUAUAGGCAAUUACUGAUUAACUGAUUACUGACAAACAUGAAGAUAAACAUGUUUCAAACAAAUCUGAAAAUUCACAGCCAGAAAACAAGGGCUGAAAUAUUGAUCAAAUCAAAACAUAUUUUGGUAUUAUUUUAAGACAGAGAGAUAAUGCUUUGUGGUGUAUCCAUGAAUUAAACAGUAUUGGAAUAUAUCUUUGCUGCCUCGUAUACGUUUAUCAUCGAUGUUUUUUCUUUUAGGCUGUAAUCAUUCUAAUUGAACUGACUUUGACAGGGAAGUGUACGGAGGGUGGAGUUCUUCAUGCUGAUCGCCCGCCACAGUGGAGAGCAGUGUCCUGACUUGUGAUGAGCUUCUACGGUAUAUCAAGGGGCGGUGUGACCUGUCUGUAGGUCAGGUUUUGGUAAAAGGUGGAUUUUGGGCUCAUCCAGAAGAGCAUUCACCGACAAGAGCAUCCACCAUAGAACUGUGAGCAGCUAACUGGAUAGUGAGCCCAACCUUCGAGACCUCAAGUGGGAUUAAGAAGACUGUUUCUUCUAAGGAAGAACUUCCUUUGCUACUUCAUAGAGCACAGAUUAAACAGAAACACACACCUGGAUUGAGCCCCAACGAAAAAGACUGGGCUUAGACACUUCAAAUGUUUGUUUUAUUUCAUGUGCACACUUUAUUAAUUAGUAAAUUGUAUAUUGUAAUCUUGACCAGCAAUAUUUGUGUUCCUUACAUACAAAGUUUGAAAAUGUA